rnacentral:rRNA from 1 species
GACGAACGCUGGCGGCGUGCUUAACGCAUGCAAGUCGAACGGAAGGGCCCUGCUUUUGUGGGGUGCUCGAGUGGCGAACGGGUGAGUAACACGUGAGUAACCUGCCCUUGACUUUGGGAUAACUUCAGGAAACUGGGGCUAAUACCGGAUAGGAGCUCCUGCUGCAUGGUGGGGGUUGGAAAGUUUCGGCGGUUGGGGAUGGACUCGCGGCUUAUCAGCUUGUUGGUGGGGUAGUGGCUUACCAAGGCUUUGACGGGUAGCCGGCCUGAGAGGGUGACCGGCCACAUUGGGACUGAGAUACGGCCCAGACUCCUACGGGAGGCAGCAGUGGGGAAUAUUGCACAAUGGGCGGAAGCCUGAUGCAGCAACGCCGCGUGCGGGAUGACGGCCUUCGGGUUGUAAACCGCUUUCGCCUGUGACGAAGCGUGAGUGACGGUAAUGGGUAAAGAAGCACCGGCUAACUACGUG